UACGAAGGGGGCUAGCGUUGUUCGGAAUCACUGGGCGUAAAGGGCGCGUAGGCGGCCGAUCAAGUCGGGGGUGAAAGCCUGUGGCUCAACCACAGAAUUGCCUUCGAUACUGUUUGGCUUGAGACCGGAAGAGGUAAGUGGAACUGCGAGUGUAGAGGUGAAAUUCGUAGAUAUUCGCAAGAACACCAGUGGCGAAGGCGGCUUACUGGUCCGGUUCUGACGCUGAGGCGGCGAAAGCGUGGGGAGCAAACAGG
rnacentral:rRNA from 1 species